rnacentral:rRNA from 1 species
UACGAAGGGGGCGAGCGUUGUUCGGAAUUACUGGGCGUAAAGGGCGCGUAGGCGGCGACCCAAGUCAGAUGUGAAAGCCCUGGGCUCAACCUGGGAACGGCGAUGGAUACUGGGAAGCUAGAAUGUGAGAGAGGAUGGUGGAAUUCCCGGUGUAGCGGUGAAAUGCGUAGAGAUCCGGAGGAACACCAGAGGCGAAGGCGGCCUACUGGGUCAGUACUGACGCUGAGCCGCGAAAGCCAGGGGAGCGAACGGG